ACCUGAUGCAACACUACUUGG
rnacentral:misc_RNA from 1 species